CCUACGGGUGGCAGCAGUGAGGAAUAUUGGUCAAUGGACGAGAGCCUGAACCAGCCAAGUAGCGUGAAGGAUGACGGCCCUAUGGGUUGUAAACUUCUUUUAUAAGGGAAUAAAAUGUUGCACGUGUGGGCUUUUGUAUGUACCAUAUGAAUAAGGAUCGGCUAACUCCGUGCCAGCAGCCGCGGUAAUACGGAGGAUCCGAGCGUUAUCCGGAUUUAUUGGGGUUAAAGGGAGCGUAGGUGGACUGUUAAGUCAGUGGUAAAAGCCCGGGGCUCAACCCCGGCGAGCCGUUGAAAAUGGCAGUCUUGAGUUGGCGAGAGGUAUGCGGAAUGCGCGGUGUAGCGGUGAAAUGCAUAGAUAUCGCGCAGAACUCCGAUUGCGAAGGCAGCAUACCGGCGGCGAACUGACGCUGAGGCACGAAAGCGUGGGUAUCGAACAGGAUUAGAUACCCGUGUAGUC
rnacentral:rRNA from 1 species